CCUACGGGGGGCAGCAGUGAGGAAUAUUGGUCAAUGGGCGAGAGCCUGAACCAGCCAAGUCGCGUGAGGGACGACGGUCCUAUGGAUUGUAAACCUCUUUUGUCGGGGAACAAAGGCGCCCACGGGUGGGCGGAUGAGUGUCCCCGAAGAAAAAGCAUCGGCUAACUCCGUGCCAGCAGCCGCGGUAAUACGGAGGAUGCAAGCGUUCUCCGGAUUUAUGGGGUGUAAGGGGUGCGUAGGCGGACAGUCAAGUCAGCGGUAAAAAUGCGGUUCUCAACGCCAUACAGCCGUUGAAACUGGCAGUCUUGAGUGGGCGAGAAGUAUGCGGAAUGCGUGGUGUAGCGGUGAAAUGCAGAGAUAUCACGCAGAACACCGAUUGCGAAGGCAGCAUACCAGCGCCCUACUGACGCUGAGGCACGAAAGCGUGGGUAGCGAACAGGAUUAGAUACCCCAGUAGUC
rnacentral:rRNA from 1 species